GGAUAGUGGUGUAGUGGUUUGAACACUGGACUAUGACCCUGGAGAUCAGGGUUCAAAUCCCUGCACAGCUG